rnacentral:rRNA from 1 species
CCUCCUGCAAAAAUCAAUGUAUAGGAGGUCUCGCCUGCCCAGUGACAAGUUAAACGGCCGCGGUAUUUUGACCGUGCGAAGGUAGCGCAAUCACUUGUCUUUUAAAUGAAGACCUGUAUGAAUGGUAGAACGAGGGCUUAACUGUCUCCCUUUUUAAGUCAAUGAAAUUGAUCUGCCCGUGCAGAAGCGGGCAUAAUAAUACAAGACGAGAAGACCCUUUGGAGCUUAAGACUCCAGAUCAAUUAUGUCAAGAACUUAAAUCAAGUUAAACCAAAUAACACCUGAUCCUAAUCUUCAGUUGGGGCGACCGCGGGAGAAAAUAAAGCUCCCAUGAGGACUGGACCCACCUCCAGAACCAAGAAAGACAUCUCUAAGUCACAGAACCUCUGACCAAAAAGAUCCGGCCACCCGCCGACCAACGGACCAAGUUACCCUAGGGAUAACAGCGCAAUCCCCUUCUAGAGUCCAUAUCGACAAGGGGGUUUACGACCUCGAUGUUGGAUCAGGACAUCCUAAUGGUGCAGCCGCUAUUAAGGGUUCGUUUGUUCAACGAUUAAAGUC